GCUAGUAGCUAGUAGUGAUUGGUAGUAGUGGUGAUUAUGAUUUAGGAUGGUGGUAGUGGGUGGUGAUAGUUAAUCAUAGCGGGUGGUGGUUUGUGAUUGAGGAAGGCGGGGGUAGGUUAUAAUGAUGGGCGGUGGCGGUUGUGGUUGUUAAUGGUGAUGGAGUGGUUGGUUGUGGUAGUUGAGGUUGAUAAGUAUUGACUGUGGGUGAUAAUGAUGGUGGUCGGAGCGGUGGGGAUGGUGGAUGGUGAUGGUCGAUAACGGUGGCGACUAUGAUUGAGGAUGAUGGUGGGGGUGAUCGUUGAUGAUGGUGGUGGUGGCGGUUGUGGUGUUUGACUAUGGUGGUGAUGGUUGAGUAUGGUGGUGGUGGUGGUGGUGGUUGAGUAUAGUGAUGGUGGUGGCAUGGUGGUAGUUGAUAAUGGUAGGCAGCGGCAGGCAGUUAAUAAUGAAUAUGUGAUAGCAUCUUAAUGAAAUUAAGUCUCUGUUAUAGAUCUUA
rnacentral:lncRNA from 1 species